rnacentral:lncRNA from 1 species
UUCCUUACUCCACCCUACUCUUCCUCCACCAUGACUUAGGGAGUUUUUCUUUUCCUAUCUCCUUCUUUGCUUUUAUUACACUUCUCCGAUUCUCUUUGAUGAUUUAAUUGUUUUUAAUCUUUUAAUUGUGCUAUAUUGAGGACAAUGUGUUGUUUAAGUAUGGGGGGGGGGGGGGAGUGUUCUUUGGUUUUGCUAGUUUUGUUGGUUUUGUUAAUUUGUUAGUUGUGUUAAUUUUGUUAAUGUUGUUAGUUUCGUCGGAUUUUCAGUUUAAUAUUUUGGGUCAAUUUUG